rnacentral:rRNA from 1 species
CCUAUGGGUUGUACACUGCUUUUAUACGGGAAUAAAGUGAGCCACGUGGUCGGUUAUUGCAGGUACCGUAUGAAUAAGGACCGGCUAAUUCCGUGCCAGCAGCCGCGGUAAUACGGAAGGUCCGGGCGUUAUCCGGAUUUAUUGGGUUUAAAGGGAGCGUAGGCCGUCUGUUAAGCGUGUUGUGAAAUGUAGGGGCUCAACCUCUGCAUUGCAGCGCGAACUGGCCGACUUGAGUGCACGCAACGUAGGCGGAAUUCGUCGUGUAGCGGUGAAAUGCUUAGAUAUGACGAAGAACCCCGAUUGCGAAGGCAGCUGACGGGAGUGUAACUGACGCUGAAGCUCGAAGGCGCGGGUAUCGAACAGGAUUAGAUACCCUGGUAGUCCGCACGGUAAACGAUGGAUGCCCGCUGUUGCGCGCCUGGCGUGAGCGGCUAAGCGAAAGCAUUAAGCAUCCCACCU